UACGGGGGGGGCAAGCGUUGUUCGGAAUUACUGGGCGUAAAGGGCCAGUAGGCGGCCAACUAAGUCGGAUGUGAAAUCCCCAGGCUCAACUUGGGAACUGCAUCCGAUACUGGAUGGCUUGAAUUCGGGAGAGGGAUGCAGAAUUCCAGGUGUAGCGGUGAAAUGCGUAGAUAUCUGGAGGAACACCGGUGGCGAAGGCGGCAUCCUGGACCAAUACUGACACUGAGGAGCGAAAGCCAGGGGAGCAAACGGG
rnacentral:rRNA from 1 species